rnacentral:lncRNA from 1 species
CAUAGAAUAGACGUUGUAAAGUAGGGCAAAGUAAAUAUCUUGAUAAGACUAUUAGGUAUUUAUAGAAGAUUAUAGCUAUACUAGGUCUGUAAAAAUGAAUGUUGUAAAGUAAGGUAGAAUAAAGAUUACAAUAAAACUAACAAGCAAUAACAAAGUGUUAUGAAAGUUGCCAUAAAAUUGACAUCAAAGAGCUAAGAAU